rnacentral:rRNA from 1 species
AUUGAACGCUGGCGGCAGGCCUAACACAUGCAAGUCGAACGAGUGGCGGACGGGUGAGUCAUGUCUGGGAAACUGCCUGAUGGAGGGGGAUAACUACUGGAAACGGUGGCUAAUACCGCAUACCAUCAGAUUUUCCCAGAUGGGAUUAGCUAGUUGGUGGGUUAACGGCUAACCAAGGCGACUAUCCCUAGCUGGUCUGAGAGGAUGACCAGCCACACUGGAACUGAGACACGGUCCAGACUCCUACGGGAGGCAGCAGUGGGGAAUAUUGCACCAGGGGCGCAAGCCUGAGACAGCCAUGCCGCGUGUAUGAAGAAGGCCUUCGGGUUGUAAAGUACUUUCAGCGGGGAGGCGUUACCCGCAGAAGAAGCACCGGCUAACUCCGUGCCAGCAGCCGCGGUAAUUC